rnacentral:rRNA from 1 species
AGAGUUUGAUCAUGGCUCAGGACGAACGCUGGCGGCGUGCUUAACACAUGCAAGUCGAGGGGUAGAGGUUGCUUGCAACCUUGAGACCGGCGCACGGGUGCGUAACGCGUAUGCAACCUACCUUUUACAGAGGGAUAGCCCAGAGAAAUUUGGAUUAAUACCUCAUAGUAUAUAUCUUUCGCAUGUUAGGUAUAUUAAAGUUCCAACGGUAAAAGAUGGGCAUGCGUCCUAUUAGCUAGAUGGUAAGGUAACGGCUUACCAUGGCUACGAUAGGUAGGGGUCCUGAGAGGGAGAUCCCCCACACUGGUACUGAGACACGGACCAGACUCCUACGGGAGGCAGCAGUGAGGAAUAUUGGACAAUGGGCGCAAGCCUGAUCCAGCCAUGCCGCGUGCAGGAAGAAGCAUCUAUGGUGUGUAAACUGCUUUUGUACAGGAAGAAACAUCCCGACGUGUCGGGACUUGACGGUACUGUAAGAAUAAGGAUCGGCUAACUCCGUGCCAGCAGCCGCGGUAAUACGGAGGAUCCAAGCGUUAUCCGGAAUCAUUGGGUUUAAAGGGUCCGUAGGCGGUUUGGUAAGUCAGUGGUGAAAGCCCGCAGCUCAACUGUGGAACGGCCAUUGAUACUGCCAGACUUGAAUUACAAGGAAGUAACUAGAAUAUGUAGUGUAGCGGUGAAAUGCUUAGAUAUUACAUGGAAUACCAAUUGCGAAGGCAGGUUACUACUUGUGGAUUGACGCUGAUGGACGAAAGCGUGGGGAGCGAACAGGAUUAGAUACCCCGGUAGUCCAA